rnacentral:rRNA from 1 species
AUUUAUGAAAUUACUAAAUUCACUAAAAACACCAGAACCCAUCUGAUCUUGAAAGCUAAGUAGGGCCAGGCCCAGUUAGUAUAUGAAUGGGAGACAACCAACAGAUACCAGGUAUUGUAGGCU